rnacentral:rRNA from 1 species
CCCUUAGAUGUUCUGGGCCGCACGCGCGCUACACUGAUGCAUUCAACGAGCCUAUCCUUGACCGACAGGUCCGGGUAAUCUUUGAAUCUGCAUCGUGACGGGGAUAGAUCAUUGCAAUUAUUAAUCUUCAACGAGGAAUGCCUAGUAGGCGCAAGUCAUCAGCUUGCGUCGAUUACGUCCCUGCCCUUUGUACACACCGCCCGUCGCUCCUACCGAUUGGGUGUGCUGGUGAAAUGUUCGGAUCGGCCGUUUGUCGCGGUUUCCGCGUCAUGUGGCUGAGAAGUUCAUUAAACCCUCCCACCGAGAGGAAGGAGAAGUCGUAACA